UAAAGAGCCGCGGUAUUUUGACCGUGCAAAGGUAGCAUAAUCAUUAGUCUUUUAAUUAAAGGCUGGAAUGAAUGGUUUGACGAGAAAUUAACUGUCUCUUAAUAAAUUUUAGAAUUUAACUUUUAAGUUAAAAGGCUUAAAUUUUUCUUUAGGACGAGAAGACCCUAUAGAGCUUGACAUUUUAAUUAUAUAUUUUUUUAAGAUAGUUUUUUUAUAUUUAAUGGUGAUGUUUUGUUGGGGUGACAUGAAGAAUUAAUAAACUCUUCAUUAUUAAACCAUUAAUUUAUGUUUAUUUUGAUCCAUAAUUUAUGAUCAUAAGAUUAAGUUACCUUAGGGAUAACAGCGUAAUUGUUUUUGAGAGCUCAUAUUGACAAAGAGAUUGCGACCUCGAUGUUGGAUUAAGAUAAAUUUUGGGUGAGGAG
rnacentral:rRNA from 1 species